AGGGAAACCGAGUCUUAACUGGGCGUUAAGUUGCAGGGUAUAGACCCGAAACCCGGUGAUCUAGCCAUGGGCAGGUUGAAGGUUGGGUAACACUAACUGGAGGACCGAACCGACUAAUGUUGAAAAAUUAGCGGAUGACUUGUGGCUGGGGGUGAAAGGCCAAUCAAACCGGGAGAUAGCUGGUUCUCCCCGAAAGCUAUUUAGGUAGCGCCUCGUGAACUCAUCUUCGGGGGUAGAGCACUGUUUCGGCUAGGGGGUCAUCCCGACUUACCAACCCGAUGCAAACUGCGAAUACCGAAGAAUGUUAUCACGGGAGACACACGGCGGGUGCUAACGUCCGUCGUGAAGAGGGAAACAACCCAGACCGCCAGCUAAGGUCCCAAAGUCACAGUUAAGUGGGAAACGAUGUGGGAAGGCUCAGACAGCCAGGAUGUUGGCUUAGAAGCAGCCAUCAUUUAAAGAAAGCGUAAUAGCUCACUGGUCGAGUCGGCCUGCGCGGAAGAUGUAACGGGGCUAAACUGUGCACCGAAGCUGCGGCAGCGACGCUUAUGCGUUGUUGGGUAGGGGAGCGUUCUGUAAGCCUGCGAAGGUGUCCUGUGAGGGAUGCUGGAGGUAUCAGAAGUGCGAAUGCUGACAUAAGUAACGAUAAUGCGGGUGAAAAGCCCGCUCGCCGGAAGACCAAGGGUUCCUGUCCAACGUUAAUCGGGGCAGGGUGAGUCGACCCCUAAGGCGAGGCCGAAAGGCGUAGUCGAUGGGAAACGGGUUAAUAUUCCCGUACUUGGUGUUACUGCGAAGGGGGGACGGAGAAGGCUAUGUUGGCCGGGCGACGGUUGUCCCGGUUUAAGCGUGUAGGCUGGUUUUCCAGGCAAAUCCGGAAAAUCAAGGCUGAGGCGUGAUGACGAGGCACUACGGUGCUGAAGCAACAAAUGCCCUGCUUCCAGGAAAAGCCUCUAAGCAUCAGGU
rnacentral:rRNA from 1 species